rnacentral:rRNA from 1 species
CCCCUAGAUGUUCUGGGCCGCACGCGCGCUACACUGAACAGUUCAACAAGUCUUAACCUUGGCCGAUAGGUCUGGGUAAUCUUUGAACGCUGUUCGUGAUUGGGAUAGACCUUUGCAAUUAUGGGUCUUCAACGAGGAAUUCCUAGUAAACGCAAGUCAUCAGCUUGCAUUGAUUACGUCCCUGUCCUUUGUACACACCGCCCGUCGCACCUACCGAUUGAAUGGUCCGGUGAAAUCUCGGGACGGCGGCUCGGUCGCUUGCGUCCGACUGCUGAAACUUGAUUAAACCAUAUCAUUUAGAGGAAGGUGAAGUCGUAACA